rnacentral:rRNA from 1 species
AGUGGAUCCCUUCGGGGUGAAGCUCGUGGAACGAGCGGCGGACGGGUGAGUAACACGUGGGCAACCUGCCUGUAAGACCGGAAUAACCCCGGGAAACCGGGGCUAAUGCCGGGUAAUACUUUUCUUCGCAUGAAGGAAAGUUGAAAGAUGGCUUCUUGCUAUCACUUACAGAUGGGCCCGCGGCGCAUUAGCUAGUUGGUGAGGUAACGGCUCACCAAGGCGACGAUGCGUAGCCGACCUGAGAGGGUGAUCGGCCACACUGGGACUGAGACACGGCCCAGACUCCUACGGGAGGCAGCAGUAGGGAAUCUUCCGCAAUGGACGAAAGUCUGACGGAGCAACGCCGCGUGAACGAUGAAGGUCUUCGGAUCGUAAAGUUCUGUUGUUAGGGAAGAACAAGUACCGUGCGAAUAGAGCGGUACCUUGACGGUACCUAACGAGGAAGCCCCGGCUAACUACGUGCCAGCAGCCGCGGUAAUACGUAGGGGGCAAGCGUUGUCCGGAAUUAUUGGGCGUAAAGCGCGCGCAGGCGGUUCCUUAAGUCUGAUGUGAAAGCCCACGGCUCAACCGUGGAGGGUCAUUGGAAACUGGGGAACUUGAGGACAGAAGAGGAGAGUGGAAUUCCACGUGUAGCGGUGAAAUGCGUAGAUAUGUGGAGGAACACCAGUGGCGAAGGCGACUCUCUGGUCUGUUUCUGACGCUGAGGUGCGAAAGCGUGGGUAGCAAACAGGAUUAGAUACCCUGGUAGUCCACGCCGU